GACGAACGCUGGCGGCGCGCUUAACACAUGCAAGUCGAACGGAAAGGCCUGCUUUCCCUUGUGGAUUGCGGGUACUCGAGUGGCGAACAGGUGAGUAACACGUGAGUGAUCUGCCCCCAACUUGGGUAUAAGCCUGGGAAACUGGGUCUAAUUCCCGAUAGGACUGCAGGGUGGUGCCUGUGGUGGAAAACGAUUUUCUAGUGGUUGGGGAUGAGCUCGCGGCCUAUCAGCUUGUUGGUGGGGUAAUGGCCUACCAAGGCGGCGACGGGUAGCCGGCCUGAGAGGGUGGACGGCCACAUUGGGACUGAGAUACGGCCCAGACUCCUACGGGAGGCAGCAGUGGGGAAUAUUGCACAAUGGGCGGAAGCCUGAUGCAGCGACGCCGCGUGGGGGAUGACGGCCUUCGGGUUGUAAACUCCUUUCGACCGCGAGGAAGCCACCUGGUUGGAAGGGUGGUGACGGUAGUGGUAGAAGAAGCACCGGCUAACUACGUG
rnacentral:rRNA from 1 species